GCGUUCGUGGUGUGGUGGUGAGCACGCUCGGCGUGCAUUCGAGAGGUCCAUGGUUCGAAUCCCGGCGUGGGCA
rnacentral:tRNA from 1 species